AUAUAGCUAAAAGAUUGACAGGUUCGGUAAACCAAAUAAGAGUAGUCAAGAGAAGAUAUUAUCAAUCAUCUCUUUCUGUUGCAUUUACUCAGUUGGGAUUUCAGACACUAUGCCAGGGUGAAGACACAUCCCUUGGGUAUAAUUGAUGAAAGUGAGGUUGUGGGCGCCGAGUUUCCAGUUGGUGUCGGAGUCCACACAUCCUGGAAGACACAUCCUGAAGUUUUUUCAGUGUUGAAUGAGAGUGCAGGAGGAACGUCAAUGUACGUCUACUGAAGAUGCACAAAGGGAGAGGACUGACAAUGGUGAUGAGUCUGACCGUGCUGAGUCAGAUGACAGCUGCAGCUACAGCAGUUGCAGCAGCUCCAGCAGCAACAGGAACCCCCCAGUCCAUCCAACCUUUGCUACGCCGAAAGGUCCCCAAGACAUUUCUCAAACCAGAGCUGCAGUUCCUGCACAACCUGUCCUGAAGACCUUCCCUCGCACCCAGCACGGACAGGGUAGGACCAGAGCGUUCAGGGCUUCGUGGUACAAAACAUAUACCUGGGUGGAAUACUCCCAGUGCCAGGACUGUGCUUUUUGUUUUGCAUGUAGGCAUUUUUCACUGCCCUGUGUUCCAGAGACAACGUUCACCUCAGCUACUGGCUUUUCUGUACUGUUCUUUGCUGAGCCUUUUUUCCUCUGCUUAAAAAUUGCAUAAAAUUAAUAAAAUGAGUACAUCUGGAACCACAAGGUCUGUUUGAAUAAUUUUGGUGUCAUAGGGAACACUUUGAGGAUUUGUUGAGAUGGGUAAUUAUUAGUGUAUGUGUUACUGGUGAAUAGUAAAUGAAGAUGACACACAAUAAAAAUUAAAUAAAUGUAAUCCCCCCCCCCAAAGGUAUACCUAGCAGAUUUAAUGUGGCCAAGAAAAGCAAGUUGAAAACAUAAGCAAUGGAAUAUUGAAGUUAGCAGCCUUCAUUUUUGUUACUUUUGGGCGGCCCCCCCCAAAUUUAUUGUUGUCACCCCCUGUGCCCCCCACCAGAAAAUUCUCUGGACCCCCCCCUGAGUAUUAGAAUAUAAUUACAAUUUACUAUUUCAUGUUCACUUCCUGGGGGGGUGGGGGGGUUGGACAGGCCAAUCAAUAUUUGUGAUUGUACAUAUACAUUUUAAUGUAAAUGGAAGUUCAGUUUUAGAUUUCUAAGUAUGUUCACAGUUGUGUAAAACUUGUGUCUGCACACAUUCACUCAGAUUAAUUGAAUUGCCGCAUGUUUGUUUGGUGCCUUAAAAAAGCCUUUUGUGGUUGCACUUCUUCAAGUGCACACAGGCCUUCCACAGUCACACAGCUACAGAACGGACCUUUAACCUUUGUGCAAAUGUUUUUUUUUGUUUGUUUGUUUGUUUGUUUUUUUGCGAUUUGGAAAUGUUUUUCUUUUUUGUAAUUUCAUUCCAGUUUAUUUCAUUAAAGCACCACAGACACGGUAUAUGUAGCACGUGGCAGGU